rnacentral:rRNA from 1 species
CCUACGGGGCGCAGCAGUGAGGAAUAUUGGUCAAUGGACGAGAGUCUGAACCAGCCAAGUAGCGUGAAGGAUGACUGCCCUAUGGGUUGUAAACUUCCUUUAUAAAGGAAUAAAACGAGGCACGUGUGCCUUUUUGCAUGUACUUUAUGAAUAAGGAUCGGCUAACUCCGUGCCAGCAGCCGCGGUAAUACGGAGGAUCCGAGCGUUAUCCGGAUUUAUUGGGUUUAAAGGGUGCGUAGGCGGGAUGCCAAGUCAGCGGUAAAAAUGCGGUGCUCAACGCCGUCGAGCCGUUGAAACUGGCGUUC